CUUGGUCAUUUAGAGGAAGUAAAAGUCGUAACAAGGUCUCCGUAGGUGAACCUGCGGAGGGAUCAUUACAAGAACGCCCGGGCUUCGGCCUGGUUAUUCAUAACCCUUUGUUGUCCGACUCUGUUGCCUCCGGGGCGACCCUGCCUUCGGGCGGGGGCUCCGGGUGGACACUUCAAACUCUUGCGUAACUUUGCAGUCUGAGUAAACUUAAUUAAUAAAUUAAAACUUUUAACAACGGAUCUCUUGGUUCUGGCAUCGAUGAAGAACGCAACGAAAUGCGAUAAGUAAUGUGAAUUGCAGAAUUCAGUGAAUCAUCGAAUCUUUGAACGCACAUUGCGCCCCCUGGUAUUCCGGGGGGCAUGCCUGUUCGAGCGUCAUUUCACCACUCAAGCCUCGCUUGGUAUUGGGCAACGCGGUCCGCCGCGUGCCUCAAAUCGUCCGGCUGGGUCUUCUGUCCCCUAAGCGUUGUGGAAACUAUUCGCUAAAGGGUGUUCGGGAGGCUACGCCGUAAAACAACCCCAUUUCUAAGGUUGACCUCGGAUCAGGUAGGGAUACCCGCUGAACUUAAGCAUAUCAAUAAGCGGAGGAAAAGAAACCAACAGGGAUUGCUCUAGUAACGGCGAGUGAAGCAGCAAUAGCUCAAAUUUGAAAUCUGGCGUCUUCGACGUCCGAGUUGUAAUUUGUAGAGGAUGCUUCUGAGUGGCCACCGACCUAAGUUCCUUGGAACAGGACGUCAUAGAGGGUGAGAAUCCCGUAUGCGGUCGGAAAGGCGCUCUAUACGUAGCUCCUUCGACGAGUCGAGUUGUUUGGGAAU
rnacentral:sRNA from 1 species